CCUACGGGGGGCAGCAGUGGGGAAUAUUGGACAAUGGGCGAAAGCCUGAUCCAGCCAUGCCGCGUGUGUGAAGAAGGCCUUCGGGUUGUAAAGCACUUUCAGUGGGGAAGAAAGCCUUGGGGCUAAUACCCUCGAGGAAGGACAUCACCCACAGAAGAAGCACCGGCUAACUCCGUGCCAGCAGCCGCGGUAAUACGGAGGGUGCGAGCGUUAAUCGGAAUUACUGGGCGUAAAGCGCGCGUAGGCGGUCUGAUAAGCCGGUUGUGAAAGCCCCGGGCUCAACCUGGGAACGGCAUCCGGAACUGUCAGGCUAGAGUGCAGGAGAGGAAGGUAGAAUCCCCGGUGUAGCGGUGAAAUGCGUAGAGAUCGGGAGGAAUACCAGUGGCGAAGGCGGCCUUCUGGACUGACACUGACGCUGAGGUGCGAAAGCGUGGGUAGCAAACAGGAUUAGAUACCCGAGUAGUC
rnacentral:rRNA from 1 species